AUUUAUUCAAGUGUUUAGAGUAUUUGGCUGAGGGCAUUGACAGUGAAAUUAGCCUGAGUAUUCUUCUUUUUGUCUCUUUCUCUCUCUAAAAUUAUAUUUCACUAUCUACAUUCCCCAAUUUUGUCUCUAACUUGGAGGGACCCUCAUGCUUUACUGAACUUAGAUUUAUUUGUUUGUGCAAAAUAUGCAUCUCAAACUAAAUGUGGAGACCAAAUCAAGUCUUGCCAGACAGAUUUUGAAGCAUUUCUGAGAUGGGUCUUUGAGUUUAUCUCUGAUCAACUGAGAAGACUAGAAGUGAACACCAACUGCUUGUGGAUUAACGAGAUAGAGAAAUAGAAAAGGGAAAUCAAGUUCUUUUGGUGUCAGAAUGAAGGAUUUUCCUUCUUGUUUUGGUGAAAGUGGGGUUCAAGUUGCUGAUUUCUCAUCUAGUACCAGUAGAACUGCUCAGAAUUUAGUUUCUUGUGUCUAUCAAUGUCGAUUACGCGGCAGGUCACGCUUGAUUACAGUGUCAUGGAGUAAGAAUUUGAUGGGUCAAGGCUUUAGUGUGGGGAUUGAUGAUAACACCAAUCAAUGCCUCUGUAAGGUUGAUAUAAAACCUUGGUUGUUCUCUAAGAAGAAAGGAUCAAAAAGUUUAGAAGCAGAUUCUAGUAAAAUUGAUAUUAUUUGGGACCUUUCCUCGGCUAAAUUCGGAUCCGGGCCUGAGCCAUUGGAGGGAUUCUACCUGGGGAUUGUGUUCGAGCGACGGAUGAUUCUCCUUCUGGGGGACAUGAGGAAAGAAGCUUUCAAGAAAACAAGUGCUACACCUGUUCCUUCCGAUCCCAUUUUCAUUGCCAAGAGAGAGCACAUUUUUGGUAAGAAGAUAUUCAGCACCAAGGUUCAGUUCUGUGAUAAUGGCCAGCUCCAUGAUCUUGUGAUUGAAUGCGACACCAGUGCCGUCAGUGACCCUUGCCUCAUGAUCCGCGUAGACAGCCAGACGGUGAUGCAGGUGAAAAGGCUGCGGUGGAAGUUCCGGGGUAACAACACCAUCUUGGUUGAUGGACUUGCUGUAGAAGUAUUUUGGGAUGUUCAUAAUUGGCUUUUUGGUACAUCGCUUGGAAAUGCAGUCUUUAUGUUCAAGACCAAUCCUUCGGCUGAAAAGUUGUGGGAGCCAAAGUUAUUCUGACUGACAGAAAGCAUGAUGGAACUAAGAUUUCUACGUGUUCUUUAUCUACUUAAGAGGUGCUGACGACUAGCUAUUUCCUCCAACAGUAUUGGGUUUGCUGAAAGAAUACUUCUCAAUAAGUGAGAUCGCUUUGGACUCAUAUACAAUCUAAUGAUUUCAGCAUGAUAUUCUGUGUAUUUAUUUCUCAUACAUGCCUAGUUUAAAUUUAGUGUGGCCUACGAAUUAUUGGUGUGAUUAUGUAAUUUGAGGUUCAGUUCAGGCACACGAGAAGCAACUCUGUUAUAUCUUUUAAAUAUACUUCCGUUGCUUUUUUUUUUUUUGCUUGGUUAAGAGUUUAUUUCAACUGCUAUGAAUCUUAUUUUUUGAAUUUGCUUUAUCUAAGUUCAGUACUUGUGGCCUGGGAAUCUUAUUUAAGCCUUGACUCGGGCAAAUAUGAUGCAGCUCCGCAUAUUAUUUAAAUAAACUUCCACGGCUUCUAUUCGUAAUUUUUGACUUUGCCUUGUUCAAUUCCUUUACCUAAGGCAGGUGUUGACCAUUAUCCCUUCUAUCUCUGUAAUAACAUCAUACAGAUAUAUCGACACAACACAGCAUGUAACGUUUAUAUUUCAGGAGUAUGGAAUGAGUCUAUUUCUAGGGAUGCACUUUUGGACAGGCUGACCUGAGGCCUGCUGAGCCCACCCCAGAUUAAGCGCCGAUGGUUUCAUCAGGUUGGGCUGGAUUAAGUUUAGAUUUGAGCCUGGCAUUGAGUUUGUGAGUUUCAUUGUCCAGGCCUAGGGCCUAGCUGAGCAAAGGUCCAAAUAUAUACAAACAAUUAAAAUAUAUGUAUGUAUAUUAGUAUACAUAUAUUUUUCACUCUCUUAUUAAUCCAAAUAAUGUAACAAGUUAACAUAAGAUCAAAGUUGAGAUUUGAGAUAAAAUGUAGAAAGUUAAACUUUGUAAGUAUAUCACAUGUGUGUGUGUUUCAAUGAAAUAGAUAUACCACUUGACUUAUGUUUUGCAGAGUUCAAGAUUCAAAUUCAGUCAAGUCUUAACCAGGUGAGCAAGUGUAUUUUUAUAUUUAUCCAUAUGUGUAUAUAGAUAUCAUAAUUCUAGUUCCCCCCCUCGAUCUCUCUUAUUGUCUUAGUGUGAAUUUCCAUUCUUAUAAAUCUAAAUGAGUUUGGGCUCAUUUGGGCUUUAGAGGCAACAUGGUGUGCGACACAGCUCGACUAAAAGCAACACUUGUCUAUUGGGGGGACUUGCUAUAAUCAGUAGUACUCUCUCCAGUAUAUCGACUUAUUUUUUGUCCAGGUUAAUUAUUCCAGCCUCCGUGGCUAAAAGGAUAACAAAACUCCAGUGAGAAUCCUUGUUGGGAAGGUUGGAAGAUAGAGUUUAAAUAACAUUUGGAGUGGGAUGUGAUUUCUUUUCCUAUGAAGGAGGGAGGAAGUAUUAGGCAGUUAUUUCAACCGCCUUAACUGCUAAAUGGUUAAGUACAUUUGUUGAGGCCAGCAGUAGCUUGUGGAGGAGGGUGGUAAAACGAAAGUAUGGUGGUGUAAGGAUUGGUGGAUUUUGAGUGAAGUUAGUAACUCUUAUGCGAUAGUCUUUUGGAAGGACAUAUAGGAAUCCAGUAGUUAACGAAGUAUAUAACUGUAGGGUAAAGUCAGAGGGCUAGGUCUUGGAAUACUGCCUGGGGUGGGGUUGAGACGUUAAAGCAUUUGGAUCAGGAGGCUUCUGUUGCAAGUACGGUUCUGUUCUAGAUAAAGUUAUUUAAGAUCCCUGGUUUAGUAGGCCUUGCAGGACUGAGAUCUGGAAUAAGUGAAUGCAUUCUUUUAUUUGCUUUAGUGGUUUGAGGUGGAGGUCUUCAAGACAUGGAAUGGUUGUAGAAGGUGUUAUGGAGUGAUGGAGCCUUAUCUUCUCCCUUAGAGGGGAUUCAUCCAAGGUUGGUCUUCUUCUUCUUCUUCUUUAUUUAUUUUAAAUUCUUUCAACAUCAAGGUUCGGGAAGAUUCUGAACAUAUUUAAUAAUUUAGAAGUUGAGAGAAGAGGCCCAUAAGUGAUGUUAUAUGUGUAAGGAGCAUGCCAGACAUUUGAACAAGUUUUGUUGCAUUAUUUGGUUUUCUGAGAGCUACAGUCUUGUCUCUUCUCUGUUCAGGGUGCCAUGGGUACGCUACCUCGGUCAGUAGAGAAGGUGUUGACAGUUCGUUUUCAUUUUUUCAGUACUUUUUUGUUUGGUGCUGUGUGUGAAAUUAGUAAGAUAAGCGGACAUUUGAGGGAGUGGAAUUGCCUUGAAUUACUCGGAAGAUUUCAUGUUUGCUCCUUGUUUUGUGUUCUCCUUUAGCAUGCAUUGUGUGUGUACUUGUAUUGCGCUACUCCUGAACAUGUUGCAGAAUUUAUAGUUCCACCAAAAGUGAGAGGCUGGUUCAGAUAAUUUUUGUUCUGAUGCUUUAGAUUUUAUUGCCGAUGAUUAUUAUUAUUUUUUUAAAGAUAUGCUGGAUGAGGUUUUUGGUUAAAAGUUCCUAAAAGUAAUGAUUGACUGGACUCCUGACAUAGCCAUUUAGCUUGAACUGCAUAAUCCUACAAAAAUGCUCACGAUUGACUCAAAAUUGGAGCAAUUGAUGAAGGGGUUUGUCAUCUAUAAAAAAUGACAUAUAUUGGAACCAAGAGUUCAAUAUCUUGAUGUGAAGUUGAAUUAGUAGGUCAUUCAAUGCGUAUUGAUUUAUUGACUGGAUUAUUCCAUCGUUCUAUAGGUUAAGUCUUUUCUAUGAUGUCCACAAGCAAAAAGACAGUUGAACUCUAUGAUAAUUGAAGGGCGUCUACAAGUAAAUUUAUAACUUGGAUAGAGGGGGAAAAAAAAUCAAAAGAACUGAAAUAAUUGCAAUAUAUUAUAUGAGACUUGACACUCGAGAACUUAUAGUACUGCAACCUGUAGUUGAUUUAUAGUUGGCUUAGGUUAAAGAAGGUUUGGGGCUUAGGGUUUAAAGUAGAAGAAAUAAUUUUAUGGGUUGUGAAUUGAAAGGAGUUGGGAUGUUGGUAUCAAAUUUUUGGUUGCAGAGCUGGCAUAAUCUGCUCUUAGUUAUUGUAGACCUUAAAUGAGUAUAUGGUUUCAGAGGGCAGUAGUGAGGUUAGGAUCUGAGCUUGAAAAUGUAUAAUGCAUUUGUUCCAUUACAAAAAGAUAAAAAGAACAUACUUUAAAAUAAUUUCCAAAAUAUAGAAAGACAAAAUUAAAUACAAGAAAUAGAGAUAUUUUAUUAAAAAACUAAUCAUAUCAAGAUGUCAUUUUAGUUUAAUAAAAGGUUAACUUAUUAGACUUAUAUUUGCACAUUAUCCUCCAAUCAUUUAAUUGGCCAAUCUAAAAUUAACAAAUAAAUAAUUGUGGGGAGCUUCACACCCUCGGUGUAAUGUUGACCAUCAUCUAAUCAUAAUAGGGUUCGCUGAGCCUCACAUUUGGGUGACCUCAAUGUCUAAGCCUCAGGGUCUCAGAAAGAUACAGCCUUAAAACAUUGUAUAUCUGGUUAUUCUGGUUCUGAAAAUGGUAGUGUGUAAAUUGUGUAAAUAUAAUACGAGUUCCAUGUUCUUUCCAUUCUUCUUGUUGUGUCCAUUUGUGUGCCUUGUGUUUAAAGAGUGGAUGGGAAUUUUAUUCACUCUGUUUCUUGGGGUUUCGUACGGCUUAAAUUAUCUAGGCCAUUAACUUUUAGGUUUCAUGUUCUUCUAUCUUUUGGCCUGUUGUUGAAGAAUGAAUUAGAACUUAACUAGUAGAUAUUUUUAGCUUGUACAACAUGCUGGUAUGAUAUUAGUCUGUGAUUUUGAUCUGUAUGAUUUUUACACUUCCUUUUUAAAACAUAGAAUUAUGCAAAUCAAUCUUUUGUUAUUUCUUCGCUCGGUUUAUUUUUUUUUUGUAAAACACUAUAUUCGGAUAAUGUAAUUGACUAUUGAAUUUCUUUAGUCUGAAAUCUUUUACAUGCACAUGCUACAUCCCGAUUCCCUGAGUGCCAAUGCUUUGUUUUUUCUUAUCAAAUAUGAACUGAUAAUUUCUGUUUAGGAAUAUUUUUGUUGUACAAAAUUUGCAUUUGUCUAAUUUUGUCCUCAAAGCCAUCAAUAUAUGAUGGUUUGAUAUGCAUCUGGAUGCAUUCUUGGGUUUGAUAAUUAAUUAUUAAAAGAUAUGAUGUAUUUUUUUAUUGAUGGUCCUGACAAAAUAUUCCUAAACAAAUAACAUUUCCUCAAUUGUUGUGGGGUGGUUAGAUGGUGAUUUCUUUGUUGUGACGGUCAGCGCUAACAAAGGAUAGUGGAGGUGAACGGUGAUUGUGGCAGGGGUUCUGGUAAACAUGCACAUAUAUAAAUACUUAUGCACUCGUAAAGAAAUAUUUGGGAUUUUAAAUGAUGAAGAAUAAGAACUGAGGUGGUGGAUCAUUCCAAAAACAGGUGUUUUUAUUUUUAUUUUUUAAUAAAUAUCUCAUUUUCAAAUUAACACAUGGCAUAAUUUCGCAUGAUGGUUAGAAUGCAAAAAAAGGAAACUUAACAAAACUACGUUGUCUUAUUAAAUGGGCUAAUUAAUACUUUUGCAUAACUAGUAAUGGCAACUUAAUGGUGGACUAAUUUGCAAACUUUUGAUAGUUCAGUAUUUUUCCUUGCAUGGUUAGGGGGCUAUUUGCAGAAAGGUGAUAGUUCAGGGGAGUGUUCUGCAUUUACUUUUCAGAAAAUUCAAACUCUGCAAAACAAUCCACCAUUGGCACUAGAUAACUGUUACGACAUUUUAAAGCCUCACUGUAACUGAAAGAAACUGAAGAAAGGAGGAAGUUGUGGGCAAAGAGCACGUGCCAGUGAUAAUUAUGUUGUCAUUCUGACUAGUUUGAUGCCCCCUAUUGACAUUGUAAACUGGCCUAGUCUGUACCUUGUUAUACCAUGUUUUACGAUUGCAAUUACAUUCUAUGUACAAAUUGCAUGUUGCGCCUUGAGAACUCGAUUAAGUUGUCUGCUCAUUUAUAUUAUUUCUGAUCUAAUAAGUUGUAGAAGAGUGUAAAUGAAUAUUUGAAACAUGUAAAUUUUCUUUAUGUGGGCUUUAUACUUAUCCUUGUGUGUCAUCAUUAUUCAUUAUCAUGGUACAAUGUCUAGAGCACUGAGAUUAAUAACAUUGCCUUGUGGUUAUGCAUCUUUGUCGUACAUUUUUUCAAUGAAGGUUUCUUGUGAGUUCAAAUUCUUUUUUACUUUGUGGACUUGACCAUUCUGGUGCUUGUUCAGAUCUCAUCCCCUGAGAUGAGUUUAGCCUCGGUUCGGGCAUAUUAUGGAAGAAAUUCGAGGACCUUGUCCUUAACUACCGAGUGAUGCAGGGCAGGUGACUUCAUGACAUGCAAGAGGGUCAAACCCUGGGUAAUGGAGAUUCUAUGCUUGUGUAAAGUGCUUGGGAGUAAUUGAUCUUCUGAGGAUUCUUGUCAUGACCAGUAUUAUUUAUUGCUUUCUUGUUAAUCUGGAAAACUAAAUGCUUUGCUGAAUUGAGCAGCAUUUCAAAUCCGCUGAGAAUCGUGGUAACAGUAUGACGAAUUUUCAACGUUGUAUAGCCGACAUGCAAUCUUUAUAGACAUUUGUGGACUGAGUUCCCAUCUGACAAUAGAAGGGCUUUGAUAUUGAAGGAGGAUUAGCAGGGAGUGACUUCCUGUGAAGAGCCAAAUUAGUGAUAUUACGAUGAAAGUUCUGUAGAUUUGUAUUGUGGGGACAUGAUACCUAGUAAAAAUCACGCUUUCUAAAGGUGAUACUUUCUUUGUCUGGAAAUAAAACAAUUCCCAUGUGUCAAACUAGUCAUUUGAUUUACACAUCAAAUUUUUUAUUUUUAUUUCUCUCAUGCUUUCGUUUUUAUAUCCAUAUUCCAGAGAUUCAACUAAAUUGAAAAGUUGCUGUUGCAUGGCUUCAUUUAUAA